CACGUAGGGUGCGAGCGUUUGUCCGGAAUUAUUGGGCGUAAAGAGCUCGUAGGCGGUGUGUCGCGUCGGCCGUGAAAACCUGCAGCUUAACUGUGGGCUUGCGGUCGAUACGGGCAUCACUGGAGUUCGGCAGGGGAGACUGGAAUUCCUGGUGUAGCGGUGAAAUGCGCAGAUAUCAGGAGGGAACACCCGGUGGCGAAGGCGGGUCUCUGGGCCGAUACUGACGCUGGAGGC
rnacentral:rRNA from 1 species